CACAGGAGACACAACAUGAUCAUCUUAUUCCUGAUCAUUCAUUUCAACAUCUUUCUGGUGUCAGGUUCCUCUCCUGGUAAAAAGGUCACCCAGACUCCAGCUCACGUUUACAUCAAACCAGGAGAGAAAACAGCCACACUCAACUGUAGACAUGAAAUUUCAGGCUAUUAUACUCUUCUCUGGUACAAGCAGUCAGACGGACAGAUGACGCUCCUGGGAUAUAUGUCCCUCACGGAUGCAACCCUAGAGAAGGAUGUGAAGGUGAAGGUGAAGAUCGGAGGGGAUGCAAAUGAAAACAAGACCUGCACAUUAACAAUUGAAGAAGCCGACCUGAACAGCAGUGCAGUGUAUUUCUGUGCUGCUAGUCUCCACAGUGCUGCAUGUCACCACUCAUCAGUACAAAAACCUGCUCUCCACAUUUUAUCAUCUCUGUCGGCUCACAGCCGCCCUCACACCUGCAACAAGCCUCUUCAUUUAAAUCUCUGAUCUCUGUGAAUAAUAGAGCAGUGGUUGUUGAAACCACCGCUCUGAAAGAAGUGUUCCUCUCUCUCCUCCUCCACGCCUUUAGAACCUUCAUACAGCACCGGAUCCACUUCAAGAUCCUGCUCUAGCCCUCAAUAAUCUUGCCCCCCUCAUACCUGAC